UCGUACCCAUUCACAUGAGUUUAAAACAUGAGACAUUGCGACUGCAAUUGUAUUUUCAUUUCUACUUUGCAUUUCAAUAUUUUGAGCAUUUGCGCUUCCCGUACUCCAGUCAGAACUAGUCUGCUGGAGAUUUGGGUAUGCAGUCGUCAUCGUCUAAUCUCAGUGGAUUCUUUGUUUUAUUUGUGAAUGCAGAGAAAUAAAAACAGUGAGAAGAGUUCGUGUGGAGUCAUACAUUAUCAUCACAAUUAACACCUGCACUAGAGAGGGUCGUUACACCUACUGCAUGUCAGAAGUAUGCUUCACGGUUUUUGUUUCCGUACAAUAUGGGCACAUUCCUGUCUCAUGUUUCAUGAACCUGUACUUCUAGUUCUGCUUUAAGUGCUUCUUUUGCCAACUUGUCUGCCUUCUCAUUGCCCUCAAUAGGCUACCUGUGUGCGCUGGAACCCAAGUGAACUGUAAUUAUAGAUUCUGUUGAGAUAUCCUGAAAAUCAUCUGAUGAACUUCAUCUAAAAGAUCCUGUCUGCAUGCAGAUUUCCAGAUUUGGAUGCUAUAGGAAGAGAGUCUGAACAGAAAACAGAUUUAUAUGGCUUCACUUCUUCAAACCCAGUAUUAUGACAUUUAGGAAUGUAUACAGCCACAACUGUUUUACCUGCUGUUUUUUUGGAUGCAUCUGUAAAUAUUUGUACUGUGUCAUCAUACUGUACACUUUGAUACA